AGACCCGAAACCCGGUGAUCUAGCCAUGGGCAGGUUGAAGGUUGGGUAACACUAACUGGAGGACCGAACCGACUAAUGUUGAAAAAUUAGCGGAUGACCUGUGGCUGGGGGUGAAAGGCCAAUCAAACCGGGAGAUAGCUGGUUCUCCCCGAAAGCUAUUUAGGUAGCGCCUCGUGAAUUCAUCUCCGGGGGUAGAGCACUGUUUCGGCUAGGGGGCCAUCCCGGCUUACCAACCCGAUGCAAACUGCGAAUACCGGAGAAUGUUAUCACGGGAGACACACGGCGGGUGCUAACGUCCGUCGUGAAGAGGGAAACAACCCAGACCGCCAGCUAAGGUCCCAAAGUCAUGGUUAAGUGGGAAACGAUGUGGGAAGGCCCAGACAGCCAGGAUGUUGGCUUAGAAGCAGCCAUCAUUUAAAGAAAGCGUAAUAGCUCACUGGUCGAGUCGGCCUGCGCGGAAGAUGUAACGGGGCUAAACCAUGCACCGAAGCUGCGGCAGCGACGCUUAUGCGUUGUUGGGUAGGGGAGCGUUCUGUAAGCCUGUGAAGGUGUGUCGUGAGGCAUGCUGGAGGUAUCAGAAGUGCGAAUGCUGACAUAAGUAACGAUAAAGCGGGUGAAAAGCCCGCUCGCCGGAAGACCAAGGGUUCCUGUCCAACGUUAAUCGGGGCAGGGUGAGUCGACCCCUAAGGCGAGGCCGAAAGGCGUAGUCGAUGGGAAACGGGUUAAUAUUCCCGUACUUGGUGUUACUGCGAAGGGGGGACGGAGAAGGCUAUGUUGGCCGGGCGACGGUUGUCCCGGUUUAAGCGUGUAGGUGUGUGUUCCAGGUAAAUCCGGUUCACUUUAACACUGAGGCGUGACGACGAGGCACUACGGUGCUG
rnacentral:rRNA from 1 species